ACGAAGGGGGCUAGCGUUGUUCGGAUUUACUGGGCGUAAAGCGCACGUAGGCGGAUCGUUAAGUCGGGGGUGAAAUCCUGGAGCUCAACUCCAGAACUGCCUUCGAUACUGGCGAUCUUGAGUCCGGAAGAGGUGAGUGGAACUGCGAGUGUAGAGGUGAAAUUCGUAGAUAUUCGCAAGAACACCAGUGGCGAAGGCGGCUCACUGGCCCGGUACUGACGCUGAGGCGCGAAAGCGUGGGGAGCAAACAGGAUUAGAAACCCUUGUAGUCC
rnacentral:rRNA from 1 species